rnacentral:rRNA from 1 species
CCUACGGGAGGCAGCAGUGAGGAAUAUUGGUCAAUGGGCGAGAGCCUGAACCAGCCAAGUCGCGUGAGGGAGUACUGCCCUAUGGGUUGUAAACCUCUUUUGUCGGGGAGCAAAAGCCGGACGUGUCCGGCUGUGAGAGUGCCCGAAGCAAAAGCAUCGGCUAACUCCGUGCCAGCCGCCGCGGUAAUCCGGGGGAUGCGAGCGUUAUCGGGAUUUAUUGGGGUUAAAGGGUGCGCAGGCGGAUUUUUAAGUCAGCGGUAAAUUCGUGGGCCUCAACCCCGAGCAGCCGUUGAGACUAGAGAUCUAGAGAGUGCGAGAGGUAUGCGGAAUGCGUGGGGGAGCGGUGAAAGGCGUAGAUA